GCAAGCGUGGUGCAGUGGUUUGGGCAUUGGACUAGGACUCUGAAGACAGGGUUCAAAUCCCGGCUCAGUCA